UCUCUUGGAGCUCUAGCUCACCUCUUUGGUGUUGUUCUCAUCUAAUUAAUCUAGUUCUUGCGAGUUCUUCUUGAACUUCUUGUUAGAUCUUGAGUCUAUAUUUUUGUGUCCAUGACAUAAAGUAAGUGCUUCUUAGAGGUUAAGAAAGUGAACCGUCAUUAUGCACUUUACUUGAAGUUGGUCAUUGUCCAUUGCUUUGUCUUCAUCAUGAGCUUGCUAAUACUAACUUGUGAAGGU
rnacentral:lncRNA from 1 species